UACGAAGGGGGCUAGCGUUGCUCGGAAUCACUGGGCGUAAAGGGUGCGUAGGCGGGUCUUUAAGUCAGAGGUGAAAUCCUGGAGCUCAACUCCAGAACUGCCUUUGAUACUGAAGAUCUUGAGUUCGGGAGAGGUGAGUGGAACUGCGAGUGUAGAGGUGAAAUUCGUAGAUAUUCGCAAGAACACCAGUGGCGAAGGCGGCUCACUGGACUGGUACUGACGCUGAUGCGCGAAAGCGUGGGGAGCAAACAGG
rnacentral:rRNA from 1 species